rnacentral:misc_RNA from 1 species
GUAGGUGAACCUGCGGAAGGAUCAUUAACACUUCAUUGAUAAGUUUUUUAAACUUAUUAUUAUACCCACAUUUUAUGGAUGAAUUAAUUCCCAUUAUUUUUCCAAUUUUUCACAAUUUUUAACCCCAAAAACAAAACAAACAAAUCUGAUUAAAUUGACUAAUAUGUGAUUGUUUUUAUUAACAAUUCACACAACAAAAAAUGCUAAGAAAAACAACUCUUAACAACGGAUAUCUUGGCUCUCGCAUCGA